rnacentral:rRNA from 1 species
UACGUAGGGUGCGAGCGUUGUCCGGAAUUACUGGGCGUAAAGAGCUCGUAGGCGGUUUGUCGCGUCGUCUGUGAAAUUCUGCAACUCAAUUGUAGGCGUGCAGGCGAUACGGGCAGACUUGAGUACUACAGGGGAGACUGGAAUUCCUGGUGUAGCGGUGAAAUGCGCAGAUAUCAGGAGGAACACCGGUGGCGAAGGCGGGUCUCUGGGUAGUAACUGACGCUGAGGAGCGAAAGCGUGGGUAGCGAACAGGAUUAGAAACCCGUGUAGU